AUCUUAUGAGAUGCCUGAAGAAUCAACUAGAAACCGAGGAGAAGCUGGAUGAGAUGGGAGCCAAGUGGUCUGGCCCCAGCAUGGCUGUUUCUCAGGGACAUCUCCAUUCAUUCCCAACAAGGUGGUCCAUGCUGAGCUGUGCACAGCUAGGCUGGGAUUGCUCCUCUGCUGCAGUGAUCCUGGGUGUUUCUGUGGCUGGGGACACCUUCUGCAUGUGAUCCUCCAGCCUUGUUCGUCAUGCAAGCAGAAAAGCAGAGAAGAGACACUGCGGUCCAGGCUGAUUUUCCUUUUGGAGGACAAUUCCUUCUGUGYGAAGAGCAGGUGCUUUCUCCCUCAUCUCAGCGUUCUCCCUGUGACUCUUUCCUGACAAAAGUCCUGGUGGAACAGAGGCUUGUUGGCCCAAGGCAGUCAUUUAGAGGAGAAGGCAGGAGAGGUGCAGCAUGGGGAGGACUCCCAUCUUCUGCUAYGUGAACGCACCUGAGUGAUGUUUUCUUGCUUUUUACCUCCUGCGACUGCUUGGAGAGGCAGGUUGCCUUCACUCGGGCGGUUUUGUGCCUCUUGCACCUAAAAGCCUCAGAGCAGGAGCUGAUCUGCCCGCAUCUGCCAUGCCCUGUGGACCAGGAGAAC